rnacentral:rRNA from 1 species
CUGAGAGAAAAAUCGCCCCCACUGGGGGAUGGAACCCGGCCCCAGAUCUCUUGGGGAGGCCCGCUGUGGGGAAAUUUCCACAAUGGGGGAAACCCCUGAAGCACCCAUGCCCGCGUUGUUAAAGAAGCCUUUCGGGUUUUAAAACACUUUCCAGUUUGGAGGAAAAAUUUAGUAGUUAAUACCUGCUAGCCGUGACGUUAACAACAGAAGAAGCACCGGCUAACUCCGUGCCAGCAGCCGCGGUAAUACGGAGGGUGCGAGCGUUAAUCGGAAUUACUGGGCGUAAAGCGCACGCAGGCGGUUUGUUAAGCUAGAUGUGAAAGCCCCGGGCUCAACCUGGGAUGGUCAUUUAGAACUGGCAGACUAGAGUCUUGGAGAGGGGAGUGGAAUUCCAGGUGUAGCGGUGAAAUGCGUAGAUAUCUGGAGGAACAUCAGUGGCGAAGGCGACUCCCUGGCCAAAGACUGACGCUCAUGUGCGAAAGUGUGGGUAGCGAACAGGAUUAGAUACCCUGGUAGUCCACACCGUAAACGCUGUCUACUAGCUGUUUGUGACUUUAAGUCGUGAGUAGCGAAGCUAACGCGCUAAGUAGACCGCCUGGGGAAUACGGCCGCAAGGUUAAAACUCAAAUGAAUUGACGGGGGCCCGCACAAGCGGUGGAGCAUGUGGUUUAAUUCGAUGCAACGCGAAGAACCUUACCUACACUUGACAUGCAGAGAACUUUCUAGAGAUAGAUUGGUGCCUUCGGGAACUCUGACACAGGUGCUGCAUGGCUGUCGUCAGCUCGUGUCGUGAGAUGUUGGGUUAAGUCCCGCAACGAGCGCAACCCUUGUUUUUAGUUGCCUUUAUGGAACUCUAAAAAGACUGCUGGUUAUAAACCGGAGGAAGGUGGGGAUGACGUCAAGUCAGCAUGCCCCUUACACCCUGGGCUACACACGUGCUACAUUGGGCGAGACGAUGAGAUGCAAAUCUGCGAAGACUAGCUAAUCUAUAAACUCGUUCUAAGUUCGGAUUGUAGGCUGCAACUCGCCUACAUGAAGGUGGAAUCGCUAGUAAUCGCUGGUCAGCUAUACAGCGGUGAAUUCGUUCCCGGGCCUUGUACACACCGCCCGUCACACCAUGGAAGCUGGUUAUACCCGAAGUCAUUACUCUAACCAUUCGGAGGAGGGUGCCUAAGGUAGAAUUAGUGACUGGGGUGAAGUCGUAACAAGGUAACCGUA